UACGGGGGGAGCAAGCGUUGUUCGGAUUUACUGGGCGUAAAGGGCGCGUAGGCGGCCACGACAAGUCACUUGUGAAAUCUCCGGGCUUAACUCGGAACGGUCAAGUGAUACUGUCGGGCUAGAGUGCAGAAGGGGCAACUGGAAUUCUCGGUGUAGCGGUGAAAUGCGUAGAUAUCGGGAGGAACACCCGUAGCGAAGGCGGCCGACUGGACCACACCUGACGCUGAGGCGCGAAGGCCAGGGGAGCGAACGGG
rnacentral:rRNA from 1 species